CCAGAAGCACUCUGCGACUUUGGCUCCAGCGUCAACAUUAUGCCCAGGGUUGCAGAUCGGACACUCAGUUUCCCAAAGGAAAUAUUGAAGAACCUCUGCGUCCGAGUUGGUACUUUAUACGCUCCAGCAAACUUCGUGGUGAUAGAGACUGGUACUGAGGAGAGGGUACCCAUCAUCUUAGGGAGGCCAUUCCUAAACACCAGAGCUGUCAUCUACGCUAAUGCUGCCAAGAUCAGUUUCUACAUCAAGGGAGAGAAGGAGACUUUCCUUCAAGAACAAGACUACACAAACUUCAGAGCAACCCCGACAUGAACCAAGGAAGAGGACCAACAGGAGGAACAGGAACAAGCAAAUGUGGACCGAGUCAGCUAAGAUGGUCACUACAGUUCAAGGAGGUCAAGAUCGUCGACUCAAGUCACCUUUCUUGAUCAAGAAGGACGACCCUGGUGUUCUAAGCAUUGAGUGCACAAUCAACAGAUACUCUUUUCAGAAGACACUCUACGACACCGGAUCUGACGUCAACAUAAUGACCGCAGUCACUUAUCAGCUCCUGCAUGGAACCAUGCCCCUACAACCAAUAUACAUUCAGCUCCAGAUGAUUUUCAGGUCAUUAACAUGGGAGAAGACAAGUAUGAUCCACCCACCAUCCUUAGAAGACCGUUCCUCAACACUAUCAAAGCCAUUAUCUAUAUUGGAACCGGAGAAGUCCACAUGCACUUCCCCUCUGAGAAGGUACGCCACUACUUUAAUGAUUCUAACUAUAUAGUUGAAGAUUCUAAACAGAUCAGGACAAGAAGAAGACAACGCAACCGUAACCAGAGGAGGCAAAUCAUCAAGGACAGAUGGGUAGACUACGAAGGAGAAGUGGUAAGGUCUGAAGACAUACAGCUUGAACAUAACUGUCCUGAGGAGACCAUAGCACCGAGUCAGGUGUGAAGAGAGAAUAUAGUUACACACGAAGAGGAAGGCACCACCGGAAUCACCGACUACGUCAUCCAGCGAAUCCCAGGACGAUUAAGAAAAUGGAGAGUCCCGCUCGGAGGACUUAAAAACACCGAACGCCUUGCCAAGAGGUAAACUUGGUAGUUAUCCUUUCCCUUUUAAUUAUUUCAAAUAGUUUACUUAGUUAAUCAUGUUCGUAUUAUCCUAGAAAGAAAAUAAAAAUGUGAAAAAAAAACUGUAAGCCCCAUGUGAGUAGACGAGUGGCAUAAAACCCAUAAGUACAUUCACUGUGGUGGCAUAAAAAUAAAAUAAAUAUUUUUCUACUUUAUAAAAACAAAAAUAUAAAAACAGGGAGUAAUAAUUAUUAAGGAGUCUCAAGAUAAUAAAGGCUAGAUAUUUAUGCUAACACUUAAUCAGUUCCACAAGCUUUGUUGUCUAUUUGAGCUCCACAGAAUUUAAGAAUCAAGAAGACUAGCAGACGGAGGACAUUCUAAUCGCUGUCAAAAUAUUGCUGACUUUCAAACACACCUCUGCCACCUGCUAGCUACAUCAAGAGGAAUUACGUCAAAAUUCAGCUUGGGGGAGAGCACCCCCUUUAUCUCGAUAAGUAUUUCUAUCUAUCUUUAUACUUAUACUAUAUUAGAAUAUAAAUACACAUAACUAUGAAAAACCAAAUAAAGAUUUUAUGCUUAUAUAUAUUUUGCUUAGUGUGUUUAAUAAAUAAAUAAAGUGGCUAUGCUAAUCUGUAUCUAAUAAAACUUAAGCAUGGAUAUGAUGAAUAGUUGCUCUGCCUAAUUUGCAAAUUUGAAGUUCUCUCUCAAGUUUAGAUAUAACUGUUAUAAUUUAAGGCUUGCUCUAGACCUAAACUUGUGGGAUGAAAACUUGAUCUGAAGUCUAAGUUGUUAACGGAUACGAUAUGGGAAGGUUGAGCUGCUGUUUAUCUGUUCCAAGAGAUGCUAGAAUUCUGGAGAAUUUUAUCUUUGAAAAAUCUUUAAAAUAACACAUGAUGAGUUCAUGUAUGAUGAGAGUUUAAAAUCCUACCAUAGCCAUAUAUACAUGCUUGCUAGACCUUGAGCCACACAUUUACUAUUUACUGCUUAUGAGCAUUGAGUGUGGUCAAGCUGUGUAGACCCUUAGGAGCUUGUCAUGUGGUUAAAUCAAGAUUCACUUGCACGUUCACUCAUACAUGCUACUUCUACUCUGGAAGUACCAUCCACAUAUAUCCACUCAUUUCUAUCUCCAGUUUUACCCAAAAUUAUUCUACUCCUAAUCCGGGAGAGAAUAGCCAAAAACAUUUUCCUAUCCCUAUUAUUCCCUGUGAAAUAAAUGCUCCAGUUAUUUUGGUUACUACCACUUGCUACAUUAUUUCAGGAGAUGAGUGCUCUAGAAAGAAAAAAAAAGAGAAAAAAAAAAGAAGAAGAAGAAGAAAAAAAAAUAAUAUACGAGGAAAUAAAAAUGGGCAAGUGCCCGGAACCUCGAAGAAAAAGAAAAAAAAAGUGAGACGAGAGGUAAAAAUGGACAAGUGUCCGACAGUAGAAUUAGGGGUACAAGAUACCCACCUGAGAGGAAAGAGAAAGAAAAUAUAGAGCAUCUCAUUCUCCUCAUAAAGUUUCAAAAGCAAGGAAGGUAUGUAUCCCCUCAAAGAGCAAAGUAGAAUUAGACUUCCACGACCAUUAUCACCAUCAUCACCAUACACCAUUCACAUGCACAUCUUGAUUUGGCUUAUUGAUUUGUUUCUUUGGAUCCAUGGUUUGACUAUGCAAUAAAUGUCUUGUAAGUAUGUAUACUUUAUCUCCCACCUAUGAGCUCCAGAUAUUAAAGCCUUAUUAGAGUAGGGUGAGAGAGAAGACAAUGUCACUAUGCUUCAUACCACAAAUACCACAUAUCUUGAGAGAAGGCAUAUACCAUCACUGCCUUGGUAAGGAUCCAAAAAUACCACAAAAGAGAGACCUGAGAGAAUCAUACAAGGAAUUUCUGAGUUUUAUUUGAAAAUCUACAAAAACCCCAGAUCUAUAGCUGAUCAAGAAUAAGAGACAUGGCACUUGGCUAGACUGUUCUAUCUUUUAACCACUCAAGACAGAAGUGACGGUUACAAGUCCUAUGGUGUAGGUAAAGUAAGUAAGUUUUAAGUCUUAACAGUUUAUUCUAACUCAGAGAUGAGAUCUUGCUUAAAUGCGUGUGUACUUCUAAGAAAUGAAACUACUGCAGAAACUCUUGAGUUCAUCCUUGCUCAGGGACGAGCAAGAGGUAAGCUUGGGGGAGUUUGUUGACGGUCCUUAAGUAUCAAAUUUAAUUAUCAAAUAAACAAAGAAAAGGAUCCAAAUGAAAUCAACAUCUAGACUUAGGGUUUUAUCUGACAGAAUUCCACGAGUUUUGGUGUUUGUCUAUUUCUGCAGGGGGUUAUCAGGAAAUAAGGAAGAAAGGCCCACAUGUCGGGAUUACAUAGAGAUAUCAACCCACCGCGCAAUUUUCUACCAUCUAGAAGACCCAAAAACGCAUAGAACGGGAGGACUAUAUAAGGAGACCCCCUCUGGCCCCUAGAGGAGACAAGAAAUUAUCAUAGAGAUUGAGGGGUGCCCUCGAAGGAAAACCUCUUCUCUAAUUAAUAUUUCUUUUUAGGCUUAGCAACCAAUGUAAAGUAGAAAUAGAUCUUCUAGUUUCUACUAGAUUGAGAGAGAUAGAGUGGAGGUGUGGAUCGGAGGAAGGCCGGCCUGUCGGUGUCUACUCCGAGUUGUACCUACGGGAUCAAGUCUCCUAACCCGAGGCUUGCUUCUAAGAUUCUUCAGUAAUUUGACUUCUAAUACUAGUAAGUUCUUGUUUUAUUGUUCUUUGGUUUAUGAGUUUACUUUAAUCCUCUUCCGGUUGAGUAUUAGAGUAAUCACUUGCUAGCGUAAACGUGGUGUUUAGGCUAGGGUACUCAUAGAUAUCCCCUGACUAGCUGGACCGUGGUAGUAGCGAGGAACGUGACAUUUCUGAGUUACCUUUGUAUCCCACAUCUUGUUAGUAGGACGGGUAGGUUUAUAGGUGCGGGUCGAACAUCCUUUGUGUUGUCUAGAUUCCGUGAGCCUCCCAAUAGAACAAUAGAUCAUCCUUACCAAGGUUAGAACGAGACUAAGGUUGCAGUCUUCUCUAUACAUCACUCACAUCGAGAGACAUUCUUUGUAGCCUAAAGGGAUAGUAGCAAUAGAUUUGGUUAUUCAGAUGCACCCUUUCUCCCAGUGGUAAAAAUAUAAAUACGAUAACUCUGGAUAACCUCCCGGGUGAAAUGCUCACCGAUAUCCGUGCGCUUGCGGAUCAUUUUCUAAUUGCGUUACCAAAUAUCAACAGUAGGAACAAGUGAGAAAAGUCCUGAGCUGAGUGAAUGCGGUGUCGGCUUCCUCUGUCCAAGAAAAUUUUUCCGACGCUUUCAAGAGUUUGAAGAAAGGGAGGCCUUUUUCUCCUAGUCUUGAGAUGAAGCGACUGAGGGCGGCCAUACAUCCGGUAAGCUUCUGAAUAUCCUUGACAUUCUUGGGUGGCCGCAUGUCGAGUACUGCUUUUACUUUUGAAGGGUUUGGUCGUAUGCCGUCACGACUGACAACGUUGCCGAGUAGUAGACCAGAAGGAACACCAAAGAUGCACUUUUUGGGGUUAAGCUUCCACUUGUACCGAUUAAGCGCCUUGAAAGUCCGGUCUAAGUUGUCGAUUAGGGUGCUUGCGUCCCUUGUUUUUACGACCACGUCGUCUACAUAGCCCUCGACGAGGUCAUCACGAAUCUCGUCGUGGAGGCAUUGCUGGAUAGCCCAUUGAUAAGUGGCUCCGACGUUUUUGAGUCCGAAGGACAUGGUCGUGUAGCAGUAUGCGCCAAAAGGAGUAAUGAAGGAUGUUUUUAUCUGAUCGUCUUCCUUUAGCGAGAUCUAGUGAUAACCAGAGUAGCAAUCUAGAAAAGAGAGGAGUUCGCAUCUGGCCGUUGAAUCGACCACCUCGUCGAUGCGAGGGAGACCAAAAGGAUCUUUAGGACAGUGUUUAUUGAUAUCAGUGUAAUCAACGCACAUUCUCCAUUCAUUAUUCUUUUUGCGUACAAGAACCGGAUUGGCGAGCCAAUCGGGAUGAUACACUUCUUUUAUGAAUCCGGCUGCUAGAAGCCGUGUUAUUUCUGUCCUAAUAGCCUCCUUUUUGUCACGAGCGAACCGUCGCAGCUUUUGCUUGAUUGGUCUUGCGGUCUUCGAGACAUUUAAGGAGUGCUCGAUCAGGUUUCAUGGGACGCCGGGCAUGUCUGCGGGUUUCCAUGCGAAAACGCUCACGUUGUCCCUUAGAAACCUGACGAGCGCGUCUUCCUAUUUUGGAUCCAGAUUGGCCCCGAUGAGGGCCGUCUUUUCGGGGCUGCCGUUGACCAGCUGUACUUCCUUGUACUCCUUGGAUUUUGAAUUCUUCCUGGCUGUCUCCUGCUCUGGUAGUCGAAGCUGGUCGGGGGGUAGCUGCGCGGCUUGGGUUGCUGUUUCUGCCAUGCGGAUUGAGAGGUCUAUUUCUUCGGUGAUCUUGAAGCUCUCUUCUUCACAGGUAUACGCGGUAUAGACGUUGCCUCUGAUGGUUAGGACACCCUUCUCCGUAGGCAUCUUAAGUACCAGGUAUGAGUAGUGCGGGACUGCCAUGAACUUUGUCAGUGAUGGUCGGCCCAGUAUAGCGUGGUAGGUCCCGUCGAAGUCCGCGACCACGAAGUUGAUAAACUCUGUCCGAAAGUGGUCGGGUGUGCCGAAUUGGAUAGGCAAUGUUAUCUGUCCGAGGGGCACUGAGCUCUGACCUGGCAAAACCCCCCAGAAUUGGGCAUCGUAGGGUUUUAGUUGUGCAGGAGAUAUCUUGAGAGCGGGCAGGCUGUUGCGGAAGAGGAUGUCGAUGGAGCUUCCCCCGUCCACGAGCACGCGCUCGAAUCUGAUGCUGUUGAUGCAAGGGUCCAGGAUCAGAGGGAAACGACCUGGCUCUGGGAUAGCGGCGCACUGGUCCUUCCUGCUGAAUGAGAUCUCCCUGUGCGACCACGGGGGAAAUUUUGGAUUUGUGAUCAGGCCGUCCGUACUGUCUAUGUUGAGGCAGGCUCUCUUUAAUAGCUUUCUUUCUCGCUUAGAUUCGAUGGAGACCUUGCCCCCGAAGAUGGAGUGGACCACGUCAGUGGGGCUGACGUAUUGGUGUCGGGGGUCCCUAUCUUGGUCCUCAUCCUCGUCUUCGUGGUCGUGCCCGUCUCGCUUGCCAUUUUUCUUAGCGGAGUCGUCUUGGGCGGCCCGCCGUGUAUAGAUACUUUUGAGGACGCGGCACUCUUCCAUGGUAUGAUUAGACUUUGGAUGUAGUUGGCACGGUCCUUUCAACGUUUUGUUGUAGUCUUCUUGGUAGUCCAACCUUCUAUGUGAUCGCGGUUGUCGGGGCGGCGGUUGUUCCUGUUGUCGUAUCGACCGCGACCGUCAUCUUGCCGGGGAGGCUGGUCGGGACCUCUCGCAUCGUCUCGGAUUAGUUUCUCCGCGUCGUCGGCGUCGGCAUAAUUUUUGGCCGUGGCGAGGAGCUCUGCCACCGUUGUAGGCCGUUUACGCAACAACUUGUUCCUUAGCGCUUCAUGGAAGCGUAGGCCCUUGAUGAAGGCAGAGAUGGCCUCGUCGUGGGAAAUCUUUGGGAUCUUAAGGCGCAUAUCCGAGAAUCGUCGGAUGUAAUCGCGCAGAGGUUCGUUCUUCCUGUCCCUUAUCCUUUCAAGGUCAUACUUAUUUCCAGGCUGCUCGCAUGUGGCGAUGAAGUUGUCGAUGAAAGCCAGGCGUAGCUCUUCCCAAGAGUCGAAGGAGUCCUCGGGCAAGCCAAGAAGCCACUGAUGGCCAGCCUGGUCGAGGACUACGGGGAAGUAGUUGGCCAUGACGUGCUCGUCUCCCGCUGCUGAUCGGACGGCGAUUUCAUAGAGAGUGAUCCAGUUAUCUGGAUUUUCCUUGCCAUCGUAUUUUUUAAGUUUUUUGAGCUUGAAGUUGCGGGGCCACACGACCUGGCGGAGGUGUGAGGAGAAUUGCCUUAGGCCCGGGGGGCCGUGUGUUGCAUCGUACUCAAUACGGCGCAGGUUUUCGUGGGCUGCUCUCUCUGUGGCACGCCUGUUGAUGCGGUCCCGGGCAUCUUUGGGAGGGAUGUUGUGCCGGAGAUCCCUGUGUUGGUUUACUUCUUGACCGCGUCUGCGGUUCUGCUCAUGGUGACCGUCAGUGUCCCGACCACCAUCGUCGCGCCGUAAAUCUUUUCGUUGGUUGUCGGGAGAGCGGCUAUGGCGACGCCUGCUUGGAGGUGGUGAGGUCCGGCUACGAUUGGUCUGGUCGGAGGUGGCUUCCGUGUAAGAGACGUCCUGGGCUCUAUUGAGCAGAGUGGUUGUCUGUCCCAUUGCGGCGAUCAGGUGUGCUCGGAUGCUGGUCCGGACUCCUUGGCAUUCAGGGGUAUCAGGGAGCCGAUCUAGAUUAGCCAUGGCCACAGCCACGUUGGCGCUUGGCGUCUUGUAGACUGGCUGGUCCCCGACCAUGUCAAAAGCGUCGUUGAGAUUAUGCGGUGGAAUUUGUUGUUGCUCGUCGGGCGCGAUCGGCGUUGCGCUGCUCGUGGAGUUGCCUCUGCUCGUCCGUUUCUCCAUCGACGACCGGUUCGUCGGCGCUGACGUUGAAGACAAUAUCUCCUCGCCGAGGGGGGAAUAUCGGGAAAUGAGGGAAACCCGGAGGGUGUGAGGGCAAAUCCAGGUCGUAGUCCUCGUCUUCGGUGUUUAUAACUUCGGUGGGGACGGAACCGGUGCUUGAGUUGGUGCUGGAAGCCUGGCCGUCCCGUGGUUCUUGGACUGUCACCAUGUUGAUGUAGUGACGAUCGUUCCUUUUUGGCGACCAACCCGCUUUGCUGAAAACGGAUUGGAUGUGCCGCGAGUAGAGAGAGGCCGAGUUGUUCAGGCCGCAAGGAUAGUCUCCCUUAUUGAGCUUGACGGAUCGUCCUGAGGGAGUUGAGGUUAUCGUCAGGGGCGUUCCCAGCCAUUCGUGUGUAAAGACACGAGUUGGCCGACGGGAUUUGAAAAAAUCCGUUGGAGCAGCUUGAUCGGGCUGACGCAGGAUUCCGUCCACUAGUUGGGAGGCUUCAAGUAGCUUGGAAUCAGCGCGAUCGAGCGCUUGGAGAAAGUCCGAGCAGCCGAUCUUCUUUCCCUUAUAGUGCGGGAGCGGUGGUCGGGCGCUCGGUGCCACCACGCGAGUGGUCAGAGACGGCGUGGUCUCAGAUCGGAUUUGAGUUUCUUUCGAAACUAUGGUCGUGAGGCCGUCGCUGCACGUCGUCCACGUGAUCUGGCCGACGGUGAACGUGAGGCCUUCGGGCACAGUCGCGGAAGCUGGGAUCGUAACCAUCUUGUUCGCCAGAGAAGUUGCACGCACACCCCCUACCUGGCGCGCCACUGUCGACGAAAGCUGGUCGGCAGUCUACCUUGGGGUGUACCCACGGUAGUAGUUUAUCGGUAGACGGUGCGCAAACUACGAACUCGAUGGUGACGCAAGACACGGACAAGCUUUUUAUCCAGGUUCGGCCGCCGAGUUGGCGUAAUACCUACGUCCUGCGUCUGAUUGUAUUGAUUUGUGUUGAGAGAAUAUGAUGUCCCAGGGGGGUCCCUUGCCUCUCCUUAUAUAGUCCAGAGGGCAGGGUUACAGAUCUGGAAAUUAAUCCUAGUCGGUUACAAUUGCCAUAGAUAGUUCGAUAUCAAUUCCUAUUCUAACCGACUAGAAUCCUGCUUGAUCUCCACAUCUUGUUUCCUUGCGCGAAACUCCAAGCUGUCGGAUCAAACCUUGAGCUUGUCUCGUAAUGGGCCAAGCCUCCUGGCCCAAGUCUAGCCAAAAGGGUAUAGGGGUCUAUACCCCCACACUUCAUAAGCAGGCUUAUCUGCGCAGACAACAUGUCUACCACCUUGAGCUGGUGCAUACCUCCACUCUUCUUGCGAGUUUGAGUUCUUUUUUCAUUCCAACCUUUGUUGGAUGCCAUCAUCUCCACAAGAGUUGUGGCUUGUGGUAUGGUGAGUAAUAGGAACGCUCCUCCAAUAGUAGCAUCCAUGGUUUCACAAGUGUUGUUGCUGAGCCCAUGAUAAAACGUCUACAUAAGUAGCCAAUUUUCCAUUCAAUGAUGGGGACAUUCUAGGAUGUAGUCUUGAACGCGCUCCCAUGCUUCUGCAACAGACUCGUCAUGUUGUUGCUAAAAGCUGGAAAUCUUCCAACGGAGAUCAUUGGUCUUGCCCAUGGGAAAGAACUUUGCUACAAAAUUGGUGGAACAGAGUGCCCACCUAGUAUUCUUCUCCUUAGUUGCAUAGAACCACUGCUUCGCUCUUCCCAAGAGUGAGAAUGGGAAAAGGUGAAGUAGUAUGGCGUCCUUGCAAAUGUCCUUGAUAGUAAAUGUGGUACAAAUCUCUAGAAAAUGUUGUAGAUGAACACUAGCGUCUUCGUGCGGCUUCCCAUAGAAAUGGCUUGCUUUCACUAUGUUGAUGAGCGCUGGCUGUUGACGGUCCUUAAGUACCAAAUAUAAUCAUCAAAUAAAUAAAGAAAAGGAUCCAAAUGCAACCAACACCCAGACUUAGGGUUUUAUCUGACACAAUUCCAUGAGUUUUGGUGUUUGUCUAUUUCUGUAGGGGGUUCUCAGGAAAUAUGGAAGAAAUGCCCACAAGUCGGGUUUCCAUAGAGAUACUAACGUGUCGCGUAAUUUUCUAUCAUCUAGAAGACUCCAGAAGCCACGGGAACGAACGGGAAGGUGAUUGGGCCCAGGGGCAGGGCGCCCGCCCUCCCCCCUUGGGCACCCGCCCUGUUGCAGAGACCAAUCAGGUCCCGUCUCACGGAUUAUGCUCCACCAACCUAAAGGAUCAAGGAUAACCAUUCAAUCAAUGCUGGUUUGAUCCGACGGCCCACGUUCACUUGAGGGGACUACAUAAGCAGACCCCCUGGCCCCUAGAUGAGAACAAGUUCAUUAUAGAGUUGAGAGGUGCCCUCGAAGGAGAACCUUUCCUCUACAUAGACUUAGGGAUUAGCAUCCAAUGUGAGAGUAGACUAGUUCUACUAGAUUGAGAGAGAUAGAGUGGAGGUGUAGAUCGAAGGAAGCCUGGCCUGUCCGUGUCUACUCUGAGGUUGUACCUGCGAGAUCAAGUCUCCUAACCCGAGGCUUGCUCCCAGGAUUCUUUAGUAUUUUGACUUCUAAAUUCUAGUAAGUUCUUUGUUUUAUUGUUCUUUGGUUUAUGAGUUUACUUUGAUCUCUUCGCGUAGAGUUUAGAGUAAUCAUCUCUAGCGUAAACGUGGUGUUUGGGCUAGGAUACUCAUAGAUAUCCCAUGACUAGCUGGACCAUGGUAGUAGUGAGGAACGUGACAUUUCCGAGUUACCUUUGUAGUCCAUAUCCCUUUAGUAGGAUCGAUAGGGUUUAUAGGUGCGGGUCGAACAUCCUCUGUGGUGUCUAGAUUCCGUGAGCCUCCCCAGUAGAACAGUAGAUCAUCCUUACUAAGGAUAGAACGAGAGUUCAGUUGUAGUCUUCUUUAUUCAUCACUCACAUCGAGUCACAUUCUUUGUAGCCUAAAGGGUAGUAGCAAUAGAUUUGGUUAGUCAGAUGCAUGCUUUCUCCCAGUGAUAAAAAUAUAAAUGCAAUACUCUAGAUAACCUCCCAUGUGAAGUGCCCACCGAUAUCCGUGCGCUUGCGGAUCAUUUCCUGAUGGCGUUAACAAAUAUCAACAAGCAUUUCUGGCGCCGUUGCCGGGGAGAAAGAUGGUUUGGUGAGAUAACUUUAAGUCUUGCUAUUAUCUUGUAUUAUACUUUUAUACUUUUAUUUUUUUAUCUUUUUAUUUUUCCAUCUUUAUGGAUAACUCAAAUUCCACACCUAUUAUUGAAUUUUUUGCACCUUCGGAGACCAGCCAUAACCAUGGGAGUCAACAAGUCCUUUCUUUGCCUCUAAUUAUGAUCUGUGUCCAAAGUUGAUUGCAAUAGGUCAAAACCAACCCUUUUCUAUAGCUGAGGUCCUAUCUUUUAAUCAAGAAGAUAAUGAACUUUUAGCUACACCUAGAGAAUCUGUUAAUCUUUCUAUAAAUUCUGGUUUAAACCUAGCCUUACAAGACCAUGUUUUUUCUUGAUAUUUUCACAUUGGUCUUAAUCAUAUAACCUUUGGUAGAGUUUUUCUUUCUUUAUCUGUUAGUAAAGCAAGGUAUGUCUUCAUUCGUGGACAUCCUUCUUGCACUAGUCUUUAUAGAAAAAUCCUAGAGAUAGAGAAGGAAUCAUCUCCCAGACGAGGAAAGGAAGUUUCAAUAGCCGAUUUCCAAACAUUUCAGUCCCAUUGUUCGGCUAUCCCACCGAGACUUGUAGUGCUCCAAAAUCAUCUAAGGGAAGAAGAAAUUCUACCUUUGGGAAUUCAUUUUGGGAUGACCUUAAACUUCUUGCUUCAUAAGAGACCUUUGAGUGCAUAUAGUUUGAACCUUCCUAAGAAGGGAUCUCUUAGAAAGCAUCUCAAAUCUAAUCCCUUGGAUGGACAUCUAGAAAUACUCGAGGAUGGCAUCUUAAGUGAUGCAAUAGAAGGAGAGCGAAGCCAUUUAGAAGACAAUCACAUCUUCUCCCCUUCUACGCCCACUUUUGAUGACUCAUUCGAACCUAUCUUUAAACCCAUCCUUGAGCUUAAUAAUUUCUACUAUGCUCAUUCUCUUGAAUCUCCUGAUGAUCCUAUGAAUUUCUUUAGACAUCCCAUGCAUAAGAGUCACCAAGACCAUAAGGAGGAUCGAGAAGAGCAACAUCAAUGGCUAGAGGGCAUUAAAAAUCCAUGUGCAAUCACCAUUGAAUGGAUGGACAAGGAAGAAGCCUUAAUGGAUUCUGACUUUGGCUCAAUUUCAAAUAGUGAGUUCUUGACUCCCUUUGAAGAUGAGAUUCAUCCAACUAUAGAAGAGGACAUAGGCGAGACCAAUCUAGGAGAAACUCUGAACAUUCAGAUUAGAGACGAAGCUAACAUUAAUGAGCAUGAAAUUUAUUUCAUAGCGACUUCGUUUACUCCAUGCCCAUAUGCAACAUCUUCCCAAUCUAUUGGUCUCUCCAACAUCACCACAUUUGAGAUCUCCAACCCCCUCUUCCUUUCUAUUUAUAAAGACUUUAAAAGGGUGGUUAUCGAUGCAUAUGUCUAUAAUAAAUAUUGCAGAUCUCGUUGAGUUGAUCUUGAUAUAGGUCAGCGUUGGAGGGGAAACCACUUCGCCGACAUAAAUUGAUGGUUUCCCAAGGACAAGCUUAGUGUCCUAAAAUAAGCACUGGUCAGAUCGUAACAUGAGCUGUUAAUUAUUUGCAACAUUACUUUAUGUAUUGAGCAUAUAAGGAUAAUUGUAAAAAUAUUCUUUCGGGUAUUCUUGUCACUAACCUUUCUAGGAUUGGAGCAAGAAUAUUGGAUGAAUGACAAGCACAAGUCCUGAGAUAAACUCACAUUGGAGACAAAGAGAGACACAUGAAGGUUAACAAUUUACACAAGGAAGCCAUAGCUCACAAGAGAUGAUCCAUGGAGGGUGCCACAAACACGAUGCACAACCGCUAAGAAAGGAAAGCUUACAUAAGGUGAUAUAGUACCAUCACUCUUCAAGUAAGGUAACAUCUUAAGGUACUUGACUAUUGCUUUUAUAAGCUUCUCCUUGGUUCUGGCGUUCACAUAAAAUAAAGAGACAAACAUGUAUGAUUUGUAACUCCAAAUUAACCAACCCAAUUAAUUCAACAUGUUUAGUCCUUUAAUCUUUGUUCUUAGUACUACCUUCGUGAUCCCACACUCCUAAUCAUAUAAGCUAAAAUGUGCACAUUCUUUCUUUGGAAGAUAUAAACAAAACAUAAAUAUAGAUAGAUUAUCUUUUGAUUAGGUCGAGCGAUUUGACCUGACAAAUGUUUUAAAUGCUACACUCAUGAUCUUAUUAUCCAUCAACUUUGUCUUGCUCACUAUGCUUAAGGUUAGAGAAGAACAAAUACACUUUUGGUUCUGUUGGUGUUUUUCACCAACAGGGCCCAUGCACUUGAUCUCUGCCUUGUCUUUAUGAGCAGGUACACUUCGAGCAAAACCUGAAGGAGUUUUACAACUCCCAGAUUCUUCCAAGUGAAGGACCUAGAUCUACGAGCACAAACACACUGGAGAUACUGGACACUUAGACAAUCACUACCCUGAGAUGCUGUUGACGGUUCUUAAGUAUCAAUUUUAAUUAUCAAAUAAACAUGAGAAAGGACCAAUAUGCAACCAUCACCUAGAAUUAGGGUUUGAUCUGACAGUAUUCCACGAGUUUUGUUGUUUAUCUAUUUCUGCAGGGGGUUAUCAGGAAAUAAGGAAGAAAGGCCCACAUGUCGGGAUUACAUAGAGAUAUCAACGCACCGCGUAAUUUUACAUCAUCUAGAAGACUCCAGAAGCCACGAGACCGAAGCGGAGGCGAAGCUGGGCCAGGCCCAGGGUGCCCGCCCUGGUAGCCUGGGCGCCCGCCCCCCUGCUGGAGUCUAUUCAGGACUCCUUCGCUCAGGAUAUUCCACUGACCUAUUGGAUCAAGAAAAACAUAGUACCACCUUGGCUAUCGACCCAAAAACGCAUAGAAGGGGAGGACUAUAUAAGCGAGGGCCCCCUGGCCCCUGGAAGACAUGAAGAAAUUAUCAUAGAGACUGAGGGGUGCCCUUGAAGGAAAACCUCUUCUCUAAUUAAUAUUUCUUUUUAGGCUUAGCAAUCAAUGUAAGGUAGAAAUAGAUCUUCUAGUUUCUACUAGAUUGAGAGAUAUAGAGUGGAGGUGUAGAGUGGAGGAAGCCCGGCCUGUCGGUGUCUACUCCAAGCUUGUACCUGCGGGAUCAAGUUCUCCUAACCCGAAGCUUGCUCCUAGGAUUCUUCAGUAAUUCGACUUCUAAAUUCUAGUAAGUUCUUGUUUUAUUGUUCUUAUGGUUUAUGAGUUUACUUUAAUCUCUUCGCGUAGAGUUUAGAGUAAUCAUUGCUGGCGUAAACGUGGUGUUUAGGCUGGGGUACUCAUAGAUAUUCCCUGACUAGCUGGACCGUGGUAGUAGUGAGGAACGUGACAUUUCCGAGCUACCUUUGUAGAUCACAUCUCGUUAGCAGGAAGGAUAGGGUUUAUAGGUGCGGGUCGAACAUCCUUUGUGGUGUCUAGAUUCCGUUAGCCUCCCCAUUAGAACAGUAGAUCAUCCUUACCAAGGUUAGAAGGAGACUACGGUUGCAGUCUUCUCUAUUUAUCACUCACAUCGAAAGACAUUCUUUGUGCCUAAAGGGAUAGUAGCAAUAGAUUUGGUUAGUCAGAUGCACCCUUUCUCCCAGUGGUAAAAAUAUAAAUACGAUACUCUGGAAAACCUCCCGGGUGAAAUGCUCACCGAUAUCCGUGCGCUUGCGGAUCAUAUCCUUGUUGCGUUACCAAAUAUCAACAAGCAUUUAUGGCGCCGUUGCCGGGGAGAAAGACGGUUUGCUGAGAUAACUUUUAGUCUUGCUAUUAUCUUGUAUUAUACUUUUAUACUUUUAUUCUUUUAUCUUUUUAUCUUUAUGGAUAUCUUAAAUUCCAUAACUAUUAUUAAAUUCUUUGCACCUUCGGAGACCAGCCAUAGACCAUGGGAGUCAACACGUCCUGCCCCUAAUUAUGAUCUGUGUCCGGAGUUGAUUGCAAUAGGUCAAAACCAACCCUUUUCUAUAGCUGAGGUCCUAUCUUUUAAUCAAAAAGAUAAUGCACUUUUAGCUACACCUAGGGAAUCUUUUAAUUUUUCUAUGAAUUCUGGUUUAGACCUAGCCCUACAGGACCAUGUUUUUCCUAGAUAUUUUCACAUUGGUCUUAAUCAUAUAACCUUUGGUAGAGUCCUUCUUUCUUUAUCAGUUAGUAACGGAAGGUAUGUCUUAAUUCGUGGACAUCCUUCUUGUACUAGUCUUCAUAGAAAAAUCAUAGAGAUAGAGAAGGAAUCAUCUCCCAUACAAGGAGAGGAAGUUUCAAUAGCCGAUUUCCAAACUUUCCAAUCCCAUGAUUCGGCUAUCCAACCCAUCCUUGAGCCUAAUAAUCUCUACUAUGCUCUUUCUCUUGAACCUCCCGAUAAUCCUAUGAAUCUCUCUAGACAUCCCAUGCAUAAGGAGGAUCGAGAAGAGCAACAUCAAUGGCUAGAGGGCAUUAAAAAUUCAUGUGCUAUCACCACAUUUGAGAUCUCCAACCCUCUUUUCUUUUCUAUUUAUAAAAACUUUAAAAGAGCGGUUGUCGAUGCAUAUGUUUAUAAUAAAUAUUGCAGAUCUCGUCGAGUUAAUUGAUGGUUUCCCAAGGACAAGCUUAGUGUCCUAAAACAAGCACUUAUCAGAUCGUAACAAGAACUUCUAAAUUACUUGCAACAUUACCUUGUGUAUUGAGCAUAUAGAUAAUUGUAGAAAUAUUCCUUCGGGUAUUCUUGUCACUAACCUUUCUAGGAUUGGAGCAAGAAGACCGGAUGAAUGACAAGCGCAAGGUAUGCCCAACCAAUCAACAUGCAACAUUGAAUUAAAUUCAUCCAAUCUUGAAUUUUGCAAAAUUCAAGCUUAGGGGAGUACUUCACAAAAAAACAUCCUUUGCCAUGUUGCUAUGUUGGUUGUCCUUACCUUUGAGACAUGCUCAAUUUGUUAAAUACUAAUCACACUACUAAAUCUCCACUUAAGUAGAUCUCUAUAAAUGCCAUCACGCUACCUUUGUUUAUCCUAGUAAGUGUUAGUUUGGAAGUACUGCACAUACUUCUAUUGGCUUUUAAAUUAAGCAUGGUGCUUAGGUUAAACAGCCUUCCUUAAUCUGAUUAGACAUGGAGUCUAGUUCGGUUAUCGAACUAAAAAUUGCUUGUGUAGACAUUGGUAUAUUUUGUGGGACUAACCCCUGCAGAAAAACUUUCAAUAUCAACCUGGGAAGUCCUGAGAUAAACUCACAUUGGAGAUAAAGAAAGUGACACAUGAAGUUUAACAAUUUGCACAAGAAAGACGUAGCUCAUAAGAGAUGAUCCAUGGAGGGAGCCACAAACACGAUGCACAACCGCUAGAAAGGAAAGCUUCAAGGUGAUACUGUACCAUCACUCUUCAAAGGUAACAUCUUAAGGUACUUGACUAUCCUUUUAUAAGUUUUUCCUUGGUUCUGGCGUUCACAUAAAUAAAGAGACAAACAUGUAUGAUUUAUAACUCUAAAUUAACCAACCUAACUGAUUCAACAUGUUUAGUCCCUUAAUCUUUGUUCUUAGUACUACCUUCGUAAUCCCACGCUCCUAAACAUAUAAGCUAAUAUGUUGCACAUUCAAUCUUUGGAAGAUGAAAACAAAACAUAAAUACAGAUAGAUUAUCUUUCCAUUAGGUUGAGCCAUCUGAUCUAACAAAUGUUUUAAAUGCUACACUCAUGAUCCAUCAACUUUGUCUUGCUCACUAUGCUUAAGGUUAGAAAAGAACAAAUACACUUUUGGUUCUGUUGGUGUUUUCCACCAACAGAGCCCAUGCACUUGAUCUCUGCCUUGUCUCUAUGAGUAGGACACAUUUUGAGAAACGUGAAGGCGUUUUACAACUCCCAGAUUCCAUUAAGUGAAGAACCGGGAUCUACGAGCACAAACACAAUGGAGACCAGACACUUAGUUUCCCAAAGGAAAUAUUAAAGAACCUCUGUGUCCAAGUUGGUACCUUGUACGCUCCAGCAAACUUCGUGGUGGUAGAGACUGGUACUGAGGAGAGGGCACCCAUCAUCUUAGGGAGGUCAUUCCUAAACACCAGAGCUGUCAUCUACGCUAAUGCUGCCAAAAUCAAUCUCUACAUCAAGGGGAAUAAGGAGACUUUCCUUCAAGAACAAGACUACAUAAACUUCAGAGCAAUCCCGACAUGAACCAAGGAAGAGGACCAACAGGAGGAACAGGAACAAGCAAAUGUGGACCGAGUCAGCUAAGAUGGUCACUACAGCUCAAGGAGGUCAAGAUCGUCGACUCAAGUCACCUUUCUUGAUCAAGAAGGACGACCCUGGUGUUCCAAUCAUCGAGUGCACAACCAAUAGAUACUUUUUUUAGAAAACACACUACGACACCGGAUCUAACGUCAACAUAAUGGCCGCAGUCACUUAUCAGCUCCUGCAUGGAACCAUGCCCCUACAACCAAUAUAUAUUUAGCUCCAGAUGAUUUUCAGAACAUUGAUAUGGGAGAAGACGAGUACGAUCCACCCAUCAUCCUUGGAAGACCAUUCCUCAACACUAUCCAAGUUAUCAUUGGAACCGGAGAAGUCCACGUGUAUUUCCUCUCUGAGAAGAAGACGACGCAACCGCAACCAGAGGAGGCAAAUCAUCAAGGACGGAUGGGCAGACUACGAAGGAAAAGUUGUAAGGUCAGAAGACGUUGAGUUUAAACAGAAUUAUCCAGAGGAGACCGAAGCACCAAGUCAGGUGUGGAAAAUGAAGAUAACUAUACAUGAAGAGGAGGCGCUGCCGGAAGUACCGACUACGCCACCCAACGAACCUCAGGAUAAUUGAGAAGGAGGAGAGUCCCGUUUGGAGGACUUAAAAACACCGAACGCCUUGCCAAGAGGUAAACUUGGUAGUUAUCCUUUCCCUUUCAAUUAUUUCAAGUAGUUCACUUAGUUAAUUAAGUUCUAAACAGAAAGUAAAAAUGUGAAAAACAGUAAGCCCCAUGUGAGGAUACGAGUGGCAUAAAACCCAUAAGAACAUUCACUGUGGUGGCAUAAAAAUAAAACAAAAAUAUUUUUCUGCUUUAUAAAAUAAAAAUAUAAAAACAGGGAGUAAUAAUUAUUAAGGAGUCUCAACAUGAUAAAGGCUAGAUAUUUAUGCUAACACUUAAUUAGUUCCACAAGCUUUGUUGUCUAUUUGAGCUCCACAGAAUCUAAGAAUCAAGAAGACUGGCAGACGGAGGAUAUUCUAAUCGCUGUCACAAUGCUGCUGACUUUCAAAUACACCUCUGCCACCUGCUAGCUACAUCAAGAGAAAUUACGUCAAAAUUCAGCUUGGGGGAGAGCACCCCCAUUUAUCUCGAUAAGUAUUUCUAUCUAUCUUUAUACUUAUAUUAUUUUAGAAUAUAAAUAUACAUAACU
rnacentral:lncRNA from 1 species